GCCUAAACCAAAAGCUUGAACAGGCUUGAGCUAAGCCUAGACAAGCUUGAAAUUCUUAACCUUUUUGAAUUUUCUUUCUUGAUUCCAUAGAUUCUGAAUUAGCAGCAUAAGUGUCCAGCCUCUAUGGGCAUCUACGAAGCCAACUUCAAUUAUUUUCUCUUGGAUCUUGCUUGCCUGAACCAAAAGCUUGAACAGGCUUGAGCUAAGCCUAGACAAGCUUG
rnacentral:lncRNA from 1 species